AUGAUCAUACUUCAUAGGAUCAAUUCUAUAGUGUGAUUGCCGAGUCCCUCGUCUAGAAACUCGGAUCAAAUUCAACCACCAUGAAGAUUUUCAGUGUCAUCCUCUGAGCGGGAAGCUGCUCUUAAGUUCAUUUUAAGAGCAUUGAUGACCGUUCUGGCUCGGCCUGUCCAUGUCCAGAAGAGGAUGACACAGGCUGAGUGGU
rnacentral:snoRNA from 1 species